UGCAGUCGAGCGGUAGAGAGAAGCUUGCUUCUCUUGAGAGCGGCGGACGGGUGAGUAAUGCCUAGGAAUCUGCCUGGUAGUGGGGGAUAACGCUCGGAAACGGACGCUAAUACCGCAUACGUCCUACGGGAGAAAGCAGGGGACCUUCGGGCCUUGCGCUAUCAGAUGAGCCUAGGUCGGAUUAGCUAGUUGGUGAGGUAAUGGCUCACCAAGGCGACGAUCCGUAACUGGUCUGAGAGGAUGAUCAGUCACACUGGAACUGAGACACGGUCCAGACUCCUACGGGAGGCAGCAGUGGGGAAUAUUGGACAAUGGGCGAAAGCCUGAUCCAGCCAUGCCGCGUGUGUGAAGAAGGUCUUCGGAUUGUAAAGCACUUUAAGUUGGGAGGAAGGGCAGUAACCUAAUACGUUAUUGUUUUGACGUUACCGACAGAAUAAGCACCGGCUAACUCUGUGCCAGCAGCCGCGGUAAUACAGAGGGUGCAAGCGUUAAUCGGAAUUACUGGGCGUAAAGCGCGCGUAGGUGGUUUGUUAAGUUGAAUGUGAAAUCCCCGGGCUC
rnacentral:rRNA from 1 species